AGCGAUUUAGCUCAGCGGAAGAGCGUGGGUCUCAUAAUCCCAAGGUCGGCGGAUCGAAACCGCCAAUCGCUA
rfam:Salpingoeca sp. ATCC 50818 unplaced genomic scaffold supercont1.34, whole genome shotgun sequence.